GGUAGCUGGUCUGAGAGGAUGAUCAGCCACACUGGAAUUGAGAUACGGUCCAGACUCCUACGGGAGGCAGCAGUGGGGAAUAUUGCACAAUGGGCGAAAGCCUGAUGCAGCAACGCCGCGUGCGGGAUGAAGGCCCUAGGGUUGUAAACCGCUUUCAGCAGGGAAGAAAAUGACGGUACCUGUAGAAGAAGGUGCGGCCAACUACGUGCCAGCAGCCGCGGUGACACGUAGGCACCAAGCGUUGUCCGGAUUUAUUGGGCGUAAAGAGCUCGUAGGCGGUUCAGUAAGUCGGGUGUGAAAACUCUGGGCUCAACCCAGAGACGCCACCCGAUACUGCUGUGACUAGGAUACGGUAGAGGUGAGUGGAAUUCCGAGUGUAGCGGUGAAAUGCGUAGAUUUUCGGAGGAACACCAAUAGCGAAGGCAGCUCACUGGGCCG
rnacentral:rRNA from 1 species